rnacentral:misc_RNA from 1 species
AUUCGGUAAACCGAUGUAAGUUAUUCGUGCUGUAUCAAUUUUACAAUAUAGUUUACAUUUGUGCAGGAAGAAAUCUAACAAUACAUACUAUUGAAUUCUUGAGUCGACAUCAAUAAUUGGGAAUGAUUUUCUGCGUCACAAGGAUAUGCUGAACUACCUAUAGAAACAGGAUCUCACCAGUGAUUAGGAUAUUAUGACUGGAUGAGACGUCAAGUGGAAAACUGGGCCAAAUGUAUCGACUAAUUCACACGGAAUGAAGGUGCAGAAGACACAUUAGAAAAACCCAAAAUGGGGAAGAAAAAGAAGGAAGAACGGCCGUUAACGAGCGAGUUCUUCACGCCGCUAACGGCCGAAUAUGUUGAUGAAUUACUUGUGCGAGAACAAGAACGGAUAAAACAAGAGAAGAUUGAGAAAGAAGAGAAAAAACGCAUUAAAAAAGAGAAGAAAGCGGCUGGGAUUAAGGAGGAAGAGGGAGAAGAAGAGGAAGACGAGGAUAAGGGCCCAAAGCCCAAUAAGAGGCUGAUAGCAGGGAAUAACAUCCCACUUCGUCUGAAAGAUGAGUUCAACCCUGAUACCAUGUCAGGCAUUCCGCUUGUUGACCUUGAUGACUUCUACUAUAACCACAUGACAUAUGUGGUGGUUGGGAAAGACUCACUGAUCUACAGAUUUAGUGCUCAUAAGGCAUUUUGGUUAAUGGGUCCUCUGAAUCCAGUGAGGCGAGGUGCCAUGCGAAUACUCACUCAUCCAUUGUUCAGUAUGGCUGUGAUGGUGACAAUUUUGGCGAACUGCAUAUUCAUGGCUCUCAGUAACCCACCAAAGGAAUCUGAGUAUGUAUUUACUGCCAUCUAUACCUGUGAAGCAUUAGUGAAGAUGUUAUCAAGGGGAUUCAUCCUCCGGCCAUUCACAUAUCUCAGGGAUGCCUGGAAUUGGUUGGAUUUCUGUGUUGUUUCCCUUGCGUAUCUAACAGAAUUUGUUGACCUUGGAAAUGUAUCUGCUCUGAGAACCUUCCGUGUUUUGAGAGCCCUCAAGACUGUAGCAGUAGUACCAGGUCUGAAGACUAUUGUCCAAGCUGUAAUCAUCUCUGUCCAACGUCUCCGUGAUGUCAUGAUCCUCACCUGCUUUUUCCUCUAUAUCUUUGCUUUAGUUGGUCUACAGGUCUACAUGGGAUGUCUUACUCGUAAAUGUGUAAAACAUCCAGAUUGGAGCUUCGGCUUGAACUACACUGUAGAAAUAGCUGAACUUAACAAAUCAUAUCUAAGCAAUGACUCAAACUGGCUUCCAGGUACUGCAAAUGGUAAAUAUUACCUUUGUGGCAACAGCACAGGAUCAAAUCUCUGCCCAGAAAACUACACAUGCGUCUCCAAUAUUGGUGAAAAUCCUAAUUAUGGUUUCACAAGUUUUGAUAACUUUGGCUGGGCAAUCCUAUCCUCUUUCCGCCUCAUGACACAGGACUUCUGGGAGAAUCUUUAUCAAUUGGUGAUAAGAUCAAUGGGUCCCUGGCACAUGUUAUUCUUCAUCAUGGUGCUAUUCCUUGGCUCCUACUACCUGUUGAACUUGAUUCUGGCUAUAGUUGCCAUGGCGUAUGAUGAGCAGCAAAAACAGACACAGGCUGACAUUGAGGAGGCAGAGGCAGAAAGAAAGGACCAAGUGGAAAAGAAAGAGAGGGAAGAGGCAGCUCGUAAGCAAGACCUUGCUGAUGCGAAACUUGAAGCUGAAGAAGAGUUAGAGAAAGCCAAGGAUCCAGAUACUGGUGAGGCAUGUGAAGCUGAUGAUGAUAGACUAAGCGUCACUCAGCCACCAAGUACUAAAUCAAGUCCAGGAAUGGGACUUAAACAAAGAAAGCACUUAACACCAAAUAAGGUCAACAGUCUUCCUGCUUCACCAAACUUGAGGCCUAAGAAUCUACAAGAGAAUAUGAGACUUUCAACUUUAUCAUUUCCAUUUGCUGAUGACUCCAAUGCAGUCACACCAGAAGUACAGGAAAUGUACCCACCACGCUCAAACUCAGUCAAGAAACGCCAAUCUUGGAAGAAGAAAUUUAAGUUGCCCAGUUCAAAUAUAUCGAACAGCAAUACAUUUGAUGCUAUGCUUGCUCAACCUGAUGCAAUGGAGAUGGAAUCAUUAACCGCUGCAUCCAUGCGAAGUUUGCCACAGGAGCCAGACGAAGAGGAAGAUGAACUAACUAGAGGUGAAUACAUAGUGAAGAAGCUAAAUGAUACAUUCUGUGCAUGGACCUGCUGCCCAUGCUGGUAUAAGUUAUCAGAGAUAUGCCACAUCUUCAUAUUUGACUGCUGGGUUGACUUGUUUGUAUUGCUUUGUAUCAUUGCCAAUACAGCGUUUAUGGCUGCAGAUCAUCAUGGUAUGACAGAACAGUUUGCUUACACACUUCAAAUUGGCAACUAUUUCUUCACCACUGUGUUUACUGCUGAGGCUGUGAUUAAGUUGGUUGCGUUAGGCCCCAAACUUUACUUCAAGGAUACCUGGAAUAAAUUUGACUUUACUAUAGUUACUCUGUCAUUAGUGGAGUUGGGAUUAGCAAAUGUAAAAGGAUUGUCUAUACUCAGGUCAUUUCGUCUGAUGAGGGUGUUGAAGCUGGCUAAGUCCUGGCCAACAUUGAAUUUACUGCUUGGAAUAAUUGGAAGGACAUUGGGUGCCCUUGGGAACUUGACCUUUGUUGUUGGAAUUCUUAUCUUCAUAUUUGCUGUCAUGGGAAUGCAGUUGUUUGGACAAUAUUACGAACUGAACUACCAUCGCCUAGGCUUAGAUCAAAAGCCCCGUUGGCAUAUGCAUGACUUCUUCCACUCAUUUAUGAUUGUGUUCCGUGUUUUGUGUGGGGAAUGGAUAGAAUCAAUGUGGGAUUGCAUGAUCGUAGCUGGUGCAAUGUGUGUGCCAUUCUUUAUGCUGACAGUCAUAUUAGGAAAUCUAGUGGUGCUGAAUCUGUUUCUGGCUUUGUUACUGAGCUCAUUCGGAGCAGACAGUUUGCAAAAACAAGAUGAUGAUGAUGAUGAACCAAAUAAAAUAGCUGAAGCCAUCGACAGGUUUAAAUGGGUUGGCUCAAAAAUAAAAUAUGGUAUUAUGUAUAGUAUAUGUGUGUUAAUAUUGAAAAGAGAACCAAACAAUGUGAAGGCAUUGAGAAGUGAAACUAUUGAGAUGAAUGGAUUAGAGAGGGGUGACCCAGAUGGUGCUAGUGAUAAUGAGUGUAUUGAGAAUGGAACAAAUGGACAUAAAAGUCCGACAAAGUCUUUAAAAUCUAGUGAAAUUGAAACAGAUGGAAAUGAAGACACAAAAACACUGCUUCCACAGAGCAGAGACAAAAGCUCUUCACAGAAAAGCUUGAAUGAUGUAAAUGGAAUCAUUAUGCAAAACAAACAUGCAAUAGCAAUAGAUGAUGAAAACAAUGAGGCUAUGCAAAAUGAUAUAGAUAGAGUAUCUGAGAAGUCAACAAAAAUUGAAAUUGAAGAUGGUUCUGAUUCUAAACAUGAUGGAGAUAAUACUUCUAAUGAUCUGUCGGUUAAUGAGGAUACUAAACUUAAGACAGAUGAUGAGGCUGAUGGCACUAACAAGGAAGAAACAGAGAUAGAAGAGGACAAAGACCCAUUUGAUUGCUGGUGUCCUGGUUGUUAUGACAAAUUUAUAUUUUGUCAAACAUGCACAUCAACUCCAAUCGGUCAGAAAUACUGGAAGGCACGUGUGUUCUCUUACUGGCUGGUUGAAAACAAUUACUUUGAAACAUUUAUCAUUGUUAUGAUUUUACUAUCCAGUCUAGCUUUGGCAAUUGAAGAUAUACAUCUAGUUAAUAGGCCCUGGCUACAAACCACUCUUUAUAUAAUGGACAAAAUUUUCACUAUCAUAUUCAUUCUUGAGAUGUUACUCAAGUGGGUCGCUUAUGGCUACAAGAAGUACUUCACUGAUGCCUGGUGCUGGUUGGACUUUGUUAUUGUAGCAAUAUCCAUAGUUGGCUUAGUAGCAGAGAUGAUAGGAGCAGGAAAGAUAGGUGCAUUCAAGGCACUUAGAACCUUACGUGCAUUAAGGCCUCUUAGGGCAGUAUCAAGAUGGGAGGGAAUGAAGAUUAUUGUUAAUGCCUUAUUCCGUGCAAUCCCAGCCAUUUGCAAUGUGGGCUUUGUCAUCCUAGUAAUGUGGCUAAUAGGAGCCAUAAUGGGCUGUCAACUGUUUGGAGGCCAAUUCUACAAGUGCGUGGAUGCAGAGGGCAACAAACUCACGACUGAUAUUGUUGCAAACAGAACAGAAUGUGACAAUGCAACCAACAAAGAGCUCAACUAUACCUGGGUGAACUCAAAGGUCAACUUUGACCAUGUUUUCAAUGCAUAUCUCUCCCUGUUUCAAGUGGCUACAUUUAAAGGGUGGAUAGAGGUGAUGAAUGAUGCAAUAGACAGCAGAGGUGAUCCAGCCCUUGAGUUGCAACCAAAAAGAGAGGAGAGGGUUUUUAUGUACCUCUACUUUGUCAUAUUCAUCAUCUUCGGCUCUUUCUUCACUCUGAACUUGUUCAUUGGUGUUGUCAUUGAUAACUUCAAUGCCCAGAAAUCAAAGGAAGGAGGAAUGGAGAUCUUCAUGACAGAGGAGCAAAGGAGGUAUUACCAGGCCAUGAAAAAGAUGGGCUCCCAAAAACCACAGAAACCUGUUCCAAGACCUAAGUGGAGACCCCAAGCUGCUAUAUUUGACUUUGUAAUGGAUCAGAAAUUUGACAUCGCAAUUAUGGCCAUCAUCAUGUUAAACAUGGUUCUGAUGGCAUGCGAAUACUAUGACCAGCCAGAUUCUUACUCCAACAUUCUCUACUGGAUCAACGCAGUCUUCAUCGUGGUAUUUACCAUGGAGUGUGUGCUGAAAUUGUUUGGACUAAGGCAGCACUAUUUUAAAAGCCCUUGGAAUGUAUUUGACUUCAUCAUUGUUAUUGUGUCAAUUUUAGCUUUGUUUCUUGCUGAUAUAAUCGCCAAGUACUUCGUCUCCCCAACAUUAUUAAGAGUAGUGCGUAUAGCCCGUGUAGGUCGUGUCCUGCGUCUAGUAAAGGGAGCUAAAGGAAUAAGGACUUUAUUAUUCUCGCUACUUGUAUCCUUACCUGCUUUAAUCAACAUUGGAUUACUACUUUUCUUAGUUAUGUUCAUAUAUUCCAUAUUUGGUAUGAACUUUUUCAUGCACGUCAAGUAUCAUGCGGGAAUUGAUGAAAUAUUCAACUUCCAGACAAUGGGGAAUGGGAUGGUAAUUCUAUUCCAAAUUUCCACUUCAGCAGGUUGGAAUUCAAUCCUAGAAGGGAUCGGAAACGAAGAGGACUGUACAACAGAGGAAAUUGAUGGUGUACCACCUAAUUGUGGAAAUCGUGGAAUGGCUGUAGCUUAUCUCCUCAGCUAUCUUAUUUUGAACUUUCUUGUAAUUGUGAAUAUGUACAUUGCUGUUAUUCUGGAGAAUUUCAGCCAAGCAACUGAGGAUGUUCAGAAAGGAUUAACUGGCGAGGAUUUUGAUCUUUACUAUGAGACAUGGGAAAAGUUUGACCCAGAAGCCACUCACUUUAUACAUUUAGAUCAGCUCUGUGACUUUGUAGAUGCUUUAGAUGAACCUUUACGCAAACCCAUUCCAAACUUUUAUAAAGUGGUAACACUGAAUAUUCCAAUAUGUACAGAGGAUAGAGUGUACUGCAAGGACAUCCUAGAUGCAUUAACAAAGGACUAUCUUGGCACAGGGGAGAUUGAGCUAGAUAACAUAGAAGAUGUUCCUGUAAUAGUCCCUGAUGUAGAAGGGUAUGAGCAGAUAAGCACUACGUUGAACCGACAGGUUGAGAUCAAUGCUGCAAAGAAGAUCCAGAAGUUCUGGAGAAAGUAUAAAUAUGAUUUAGGUACCCCAGCAGGUACACCCAAAAAAGGUCUUAGUGACCUUGUAGUGGUUUUAAUAGAGAAUGGUACCAGAGAGGCUGCCAGUGACACAACCACGACACCAUCAGACAAUGGGUUGGACAGUGGUGUAGAUAGCCUUAAUAAUCUCAACAAAGGAUCUGACUUCAUAGUAUGAUUUUAAGCCCAAACUACUUGGAUAGCAAUUACUAUACUUACCACAAUUGAUUAAACAACAAUAUUGGUGGUUUAAGGUCAAAUGCUUCAUACAUAUGCUAUAUACAGCAAUGCAUUGAUGUUGUAGUGUGGCACCCGCCGAGCAAAGCAAGAUGCAAUGGGCUAAAUGCGCCACAUCUGCAGUAUGAGAUCAAGGGUGACAAUCAGAGGCCCUUUGAGUUUAAACUCAAUUUAUGGCGGGAAAAUGUCAAAACUUUUUACUUUGAAUGACAAGUAUUCGUGUAAUUGUACAUUGUUAAUUUUGGUGGUUGUACUAUAGCUUUAACUCCUAGCAUACUUUCAUUUCAAUUUUCUUAUUCAGAUUUGUGUAAAUUGCUUACUCAUUCCAAGUUUUAACCAUUUAUAACUACAUGUUUGCGCAGGCAUAUGGCUGUAUAUAAUUUAAAUGCUCAUUUCCUUAAAAUAUUGUAAAUUACUGUACAUUGUGUAUAUUAGUAGGCCUAGCAAAAAUGGACAUAUAGGAUUGACUUUCCCACAAAAUAUUCUGAUCAUUGAGAGUAUUAUAAAAUAUUUGAAAUACCAUAUGCAUAAUGUACUUAUUGAAAGGACAACCGAUAAAACACUGUAAGUAUUAUUUAAUCUGAUUCAUCUGUAGAUACAUUUAGUGGUACAAACAUGAAUUCUCUCCAAAAUUUUUUUAAAAAGACUGUUACAGGAAUCUUUCAAAGCUUUUCUGAGCUGAUAUAAAAUUUGGAAAAAAUGCAGACAAGGUGAUUAUAUUUCUAAAUAAUACAUACAGUGGUAUGAUAUUGGUAAAUGAUAUUUGCAAAUGCCUUUAUUGUGAAAGAAACUUUGAAGGAUAUGCUGGUGAAUUCUCAAAACACAGGCUACAUAUUUUCAUUCCUCAAGAUUAAGAUGCAAUACUUUUUGCAGUAAAUGAGCUGUGCAAAGUGCCCAAAUGUUCAAUUUUUGUAGUUAAGAAAUAAAAGGUAUGUGUAGCCAAGUGGGUAAGAGAAUGGGAGAGGAUCAGAAUAUUUUGACAAAAGCACUGGGGAGUAAUUAGGAUAGCUUCAAUAGUAGUUUGCCGCAUUGUGUAAAUAUCUUGGCCUCUUUUGCAGUAAAUGUGUUCUUGAAUUUUAUUGGAUAUACUUCAAAUAAUCUUGCCUUACAAGAUUGUAUAUUACAUGAACAAUCAGUGACAAAAGGAAAAUUGAAAAUAAUCAUUGGUUCGAUAGGCUACCCAUUUUGCACUUACAUGCAUAAUAUAUAGACACUUUAAAAUCAUUCUAUGUUAGAAUCUGUAAAUAAUGUCUUCCCAAACAUUAGGCUGAUUUUUCCUUUUAGUCGGUUGAGGAUGCAAUUAUAAAUAUGUUCCAAACCUUUACCAUUUUAUCAACUGAUUCAUAAGUGCAAACUGAAGAACUAUCUUCAUGUCUUUUAUUUCCUUUUAGAUGUUUUAACCCAUUCGCAAUAAGUUUAUUUCUUUCAAACAAUUAAUAUUCAAUUCUCUGAACAAUUUGUUAAAAUAAUUCACAUAUAAUUUAUUAAGUUUAACAUCAGAAAUCAGAUUGUACAUAAAAUAUUCUACAACAAAUUAAAAGAAAUCUUUAAGGUGGCGAACAUGCUUACAUAGUUGCAUAUUGUUGAAUUUUUAUACUUUCAUUUGAAGUUAUCUCUCAAUCUUCUAUGUCAGCAUAUACAUUUUUACUGUUUGAAGCAAAUAAAUUAAUGAUAACUAAUACUAAAAAAAAAUAUAAUUUUUUGUUGAUUAUGUAUAGUUCAUGGAAGUAGCACCACUAAUUAACAUACAUUAAAUGAACUAUACACGCAGUUGAAUCUGAAUAAAACCAAAGUAUUAUUCACACCCCGGAAUAGCCUGACAACGGUAAAGUCAAAUACCGUUGUUACAAAUGGCAGACAUAACUGUCGC